AUCCUGAGAACUGUUUGCUAAUCUUGUUCCCAGAAUGUGCUGUCCCCAACUGCCAAACUGCAGAAUGCACUCCCUCACUUGGUUGCAGGCAAACUGCCCACUCGCCCUGACCAGUCAAUGAACUUCCCUCCCUGCCCUCUCCAAGAAAACUAUAUAAGCUCUGCUUAAGCUGUUCCCAGUGCUCUAUCUCUCUUUGUUCUAGUGAGCCCUGAGCCCCAGCAUGCUGGUCUCCAAAUAAACCCUUUUUGCUGUUGCAUGAGACAGUCUCUUGGUGGUCUCUUCCUCCGAUGUUUCGCUGGUCCCUUACAUUUGGUGCAUUGCCCGGGAAGUGCGCAUCGCCGGACAGGGAGACCCCAACAGACUCCUUUGGGGGCCUACUUGGGAUGACUGCCAGCAACCCUUAGGCACUCUCUUCAUGACAGAGGAAUGAGAGAGAAUCCUCCUGGAAGCUAGAAAAAAAAUAUCCUCGGACCAGAUGAGUGACCAACAUAACUUCCCAACAUAAUCGAAGCCAACUUCCCCUUGAACCGACCAAACUGGGACCCCAACACCUUUGAAGAGAUCUCAACAACUUCAAAACCAUGCACCCUGAAGUCACCCUACUCCAAUAUGUGGAUGACCUGCUACUGGCAGCAGACACCAAGGAAAACUAUACAUUUUCAGGAUGGAUAGAAGCCUUCCCCACAAAAAGAGAAAUGGUGCAAAUGGUGGUCAAGAAGAUCCUGGAAGAUAUUUUUCCAAGAUACGGCCUGCCUAAGGUAAUAGGGUCUGAUAAUGGACCGGCGUUCGUGGCCCAGACUUAAAGCUCUUGAAAGAACCCAGCGAUACCUGUGAAAACAGCUGGCCACUUCCUACCAACCUGGAGACGAAGGGACUCCACAUCGAUAUCAAUUGGGGAACUUCGUCUACGUAAGAUGACAUCAGGUGUCAUCCCUAGAACCCCGCUGGAAAGGACCAUACCAGGUGCUACUUAUAACACCUACAGCGGUAAAGGUAGACGGAAUCACUUCCUGGAUCCAGGCCUCUCAUGUCAAGCCUGCGCCCUGUCCAGACUCUGGCUGGAAAUUGGAAAAGACUGGUAACCCUCUCAAAUUGCGUAUUCGCCAUGUGGAUAUGGCUAUGGAUUCUCCCCAUGAUCACCAGUAGUCCUAACCCUCAUCCUCCCGUUCAGCAGCGAUGGCUGAUCACAAAUCCUACUGGACAGGAAGUAUGGUCUAUCUCGCAUACAGCCCCCUUAGGGACCUGGUGGCCAUCUCUUCACCCAGACAUUUGUCAGCUGGCUAUAGGCCUUUCCUAUUGGGACAUCCCUGAUGAAAAAGAUCCCACUAAAAUUCCAUUAAAUCCCUUCCGUACCAUAGAUAAUGGAAACAAACAUUAUGGAUGUAGGGACAUGCAAGCCAGAUGUAGGUUGGCUAGCCUGGAUUAUUAUGUUUGCCCGGCGGACUAUCGAAACUGCAAACAGUCACAGCUGUGUGGGGGAAAAGCCGACUUCUUCUGUAAGUCAUGGGGAUGUGAGCAUACAGGGGCUGUCUGGUGGAACCCAAACUCCCCUGAUAGUCUGAUUCGGGUAAAAAGAAAUAAUACUAAGUUAAAUCCCAAACAAUGUCUCCCAUUUAAACGGAGCCCCCAAGCGGGGACUUCUGGACUAGUUGACCCUACUCCAUGUGACACAAAUAGCCUAUGCAACCCCCUAAAUAUAACCUUCACCUCCAAAGGAAGAAACCAAAAUAUCUGGGUAUGACUUUCAGGAAAAACCUAUGGAAUGCAAUUUUACACCACAGGAUAUGAUUUUGGCCUUUGGUUCACUAUCAGGUUUGAGAGAAAAGAAAUUCCCUUGGCCAUAGGGCCCAAUCCCCUCAAGCCAGGAAUUGGGCCUCAUAGACAACCCAAACCUAAAUCUACAAGGGCCCUUUCACUUUCCCAUACUCCUCAAGUUUCACCUUCAUUUACUUCCCCAAUCCAGAGUGAAGUCAACCCUUUCCCCUGGGGGCUAAUUGAAGGAGCCUUUGCGGUGCUGAAUUUCACACAACCAGACCUCACUCAGUCUUGUUGGCUCUGUCUCUCCUCUGCUCCUCCUUACUAUAAAGGGAUAGCAAUUAAUGGGACUGAUGCAGUAAAAGCGCAGAGUUCCUCCUGUAAUUGGGGUGAAAAUCCUAAUUUAACCCUCCCAGAAGUAACCGGGGCAGGCUUAUGUAUAGGGUCUCCACCUAAAAGUAAACAACACUUAUGUACCCAGAUAAAAAAUAUUGGCAUCACACAGGGUUUCCUUACUCCUGAAAAUGGAACUUUGUGGGCAUGUGACACAGGGUUAACUCCUUGAAUUUCAGCCCAGAUAUUUAACAGCUCUGUAAAUUAUUGUGUAAUGGUGCAGAUGUUUCCCAGAGUGCUCUAUCAUGAUGCAGGUUCAUUUGAAGAUCAAAUAGGGGUGCAUACAAUCCAGUUUUACCGGGAACCUGUAUCCCCCACUUUAGCAAUCUUAUUAGGAAUGGGAAUUGCUGCAGGGGUGGGCACAGGGACCACUGCCCCGGUCCAUGGGACACAACAAAUGACCCAAUUAGAAAGAGCAAUGGACCAAAACUUAAAGAUAUUAGAAACAUCCAUCAAAGCUUUGCAGGAAUCUUUAACCUCUCUCUCUCUGAAGUUGUUUUACAGAACAGGCGAGGGUUGGGCCUCCUCUUCAUGAGAGAAGAGGGCCUUUGUGCUGCAUUGAGGGAAGAAUGUUGUUUUUAUGCCGACCAUACUGGAGUUGUAAAAGAAUCUAUGAGCAAACUAAGAAGACGCCUUGAAGAGAGUCAGAGAGAGAGAGAGAGAGGCCCAAAAAGGGUGGUAUGAGUCUUGGUUCACACAGUCCCCCUGGUUAACUACGCUUUUAUCAGCCCUGGCCGGUCCUUUAAUAAUUCUUAUAUUGUUGCUAACUCUAGCACCCUGUUUGCUCAACCGUGUAGUUUCCUUUCUCCAAGCCCAAAUUGGACAAGUCAAACUUAUGGUAAUCAGACAACAAUAUACCCCACUAGCAGACACAGAAUGUGACACCCCCAAUGAUCACUUUUAUGAUUAAAAGUAGCCAGAAGAAGAAGUGGGGAAUGAAUGGUUAAUAAAAUAGGUACUUGUCAUUCCGUUUUUCUGUAUGUUUAACAAAACACUGUUGAAAUCCUGAGAACUGUUUGCUAAUCUUGUUCCCAGAAUGUGCUGUCCCCAACUGCCAAACUGCAGAAUGCACUCCUUCACUUGGUUGCAGGCAAACUGCCCACUCGCCUUGACCCGUCAAUGAACUUCCCUCCCUGCCCUCUCCAAGAAAACUAUAUAAGUUCUGCUUAAGCUGUUCCCAAUGCUCUAUCUCUCUUUGCUCUAGAGAGCUCUGAGCCCCAGCAUGCUGGUAUCCAAAUAAACCCUUUUUGCUGUUGCAUGA